rnacentral:misc_RNA from 1 species
GAAAUGCGAUACGCAAUGCGAAUUGCAGAAUUCCGCGAGUCAUCAGAUCUUUGAACGCAAGUGGCGCUGGCCGUCAAACGCCAGCAUGCCUGUUUCAGUGUGUUAGGAAUCACACAUCCCAAUGCGAUUGACGGGUUCAGGGGUUCGGGGCCUCCGGGUCCCCCUCUGCGCUCCUCUCUCGUUAAACACGACGGCGCCGAGCCUCUUGCGCGGCCGAAAUGAAGUAGUCACUUCUUCCGAAAGUGAUCUCGUUUCGGGUACCGGCGGGCUCACUAAGGCAUCGUAGUAAAACAUUUACCUAACAACUCCACGACACCUGAAAUCAAGCAAGAUCACCCGCUGAACUUAA